GACGAACGCUGGCGGCGUGCUUAACACAUGCAAGUCGAACGGAAAGGCCCUGCUUUUGUGGGGUGCUCGAGUGGCGAACGGGUGAGUAACACGUGAGUAACCUGCCCUUGACUUUGGGAUAACUUCAGGAAACUGGGGCUAAUACCGGAUAGGAGCUCCUGCUGCAUGGUGGGGGUUGGAAAGUUUCGGCGGUUGGGGAUGGACUCGCGGCUUAUCAGCUUGUUGGUGGGGUAGUGGCUUACCAAGGCUUUGACGGGUAGCCGGCCUGAGAGGGUGACCGGCCACAUUGGGACUGAGAUACGGCCCAGACUCCUACGGGAGGCAGCAGUGGGGAAUAUUGCACAAUGGGCGGAAGCCUGAUGCAGCAACGCCGCGUGCGGGAUGACGGCCUUCGGGUUGUAAACCGCUUUCGCCUGUGACGAAGCGUGAGUGACGGUAAUGGGUAAAGAAGCACCGGCUAACUACGUGCCAGCAGCCGCGGUGAUACGUAGGGUGCGAGCGUUGUCCGGAUUUAUUGGGCGUAAAGGGCUCGUAGGUGGUUGAUCGCGUCGGAGGUGUAAUCUUGGGGCUUAACCCUGAGCGUGCUUUCGAUACGGGUUGACUUGAGGAAGGUAGGGGAGAAUGGAAUUCCUGGUGGAGCGGUGGAAUGCGCAGAUAUCAGGAGGAACACCAGUGGCGACGGCGGUUCUCUGGGCCUUUCCUGACGCUGAGGAGCGAAAGCGUGGGGAGCGAACAGGCUUAGAUACCCUGGUAGUCCACGCUGUAAACGGUGGGUACUAGGUGUGGGGUCCAUUCCACGGGUUCCGUGCCGUAGCUAACGCUUUAAGUACCCCGCCUGGGGAGUACGGCCGCAAGGCUAAAACUCAAAGGAAUUGACGGGGCCCCGCACAAGCGGCGGAGCAUGCGGAUUAAUUCGAUGCAACGCGUAGAACCUUACCUGGGUUUGACAUGGAUCGGGAGCGCUCAGAGAUGGGUGUGCCUCUUUUGGGGUCGGUUCACAGGUGGUGCAUGGCUGUCGUCAGCUCGUGUCGUGAGAUGUUGGGUUAAGUCCCGCAACGAGCGCAACCCUUGUUCACUGUUGCCAGCACGUUAUGGUGGGGACUCAGUGGAGACCGCCGGGGUCAACUCGGAGGAAGGUGGGGAUGACGUCAAGUCAUCAUGCCCCUUAUGUCCAGGGCUUCACGCAUGCUACAAUGGCUGGUACAGAGAGUGGCGAGCCUGUGAGGGUGAGCGAAUCUCGGAAAGCCGGUCUCAGUUCGGAUUGGGGUCUGCAACUCGACCUCAUGAAGUCGGAGUCGCUAGUAAUCGCAGAUCAGCAACGCUGCGGCGAAUACGUUCCCGGGGCU
rnacentral:rRNA from 1 species